CUACGUGCCAGCAGCCGCGGUAAUACGUAGGUGGCAAGCGUUGUCCGGAAUUAUUGGGCGUAAAGCGCGCGCAGGCGGAUUGGUCAGUCUGUCUUAAAAGUUCGGGGCUUAACCCCGUGAUGGGAUGGAAACUGCCAAUCUAGAGUAUCGGAGAGGAAAGUGGAAUUCCUAGUGUAGCGGUGAAAUGCGUAGAUAUUAGGAAGAACACCAGUGGCGAAGGCGACUUUCUGGACGAAAACUGACGCUGAGGCGCGAAAGCCAGGGGAGCGAACGGGAUUAGAUACCCCGGUAGUCCUGGCCGUAAACGAUGGGUACUAGGUGUAGGAGGUAUCGACCCCUUCUGUGCCGGAGUUAACGCAAUAAGUACCCCGCCUGGGGAGUACGACCGCAAGGUUGAAACUCAAAGGAAUUGACGGGGGCCCGCACAAGCGGUGGAGUAUGUGGUUUAAUUCGACGCAACGCGAAGAACCUUACCAGGUCUUG
rnacentral:rRNA from 1 species